UACAGAGGGUGCAAGCGUUGCUCGGAAUUACUGGGCGUAAAGCGUGCGUAGGCGGUUAUGUAAGUUAGGUGUGAAAGCCCCGGGCUCAACCUGGGAAUUGCAUUUAAGACUGCAUAGCUAGGGUGCGGAAGAGGGAAGCGGAAUUUCCGGUGUAGCGGUGAAAUGCGUAGAUAUCGGAAGGAACAUCAGUGGCGAAAGCGGCUUCCUGGUCCAGCACUGACGUUCAGGCACGAAAGCGUGGGGAGCAAACAGG
rnacentral:rRNA from 1 species